rnacentral:rRNA from 1 species
AGCGAACGCUGGCGGCAGGCCUAACACAUGCAAGUCGAACGGAUCCCUCGGGAUUAGUGGCGGACGGGUGAGUAACACGUGGGAACGUGCCUUUUGGUUCGGAACAACUCAGGGAAACUUGAGCUAAUACCGGAUAAGCCUUUCGAGGGAAAGAUUUAUCGCCAUUAGAGCGGCCCGCGUAGGAUUAGCUAGUUGGUGGGGUAAAGGCCCACCAAGGCUACGAUCCUUAGCUGGUCUGAGAGGAUGAUCAGCCACAUUGGGACUGAGACACGGCCCAAACUCCUACGGGAGGCAGCAGUGGGGAAUCUUGCGCAAUGGGCGAAAGCCUGACGCAGCCAUGCCGCGUGAAUGAUGAAGGUCUUAGGAUUGUAAAAUUCUUUCACCGGGGACGAUAAUGACGGUACCCGGAGAAGAAGCCCCGGCUAACUUCGUGCCAGCAGCCGCGGUAAUACGAAGGGGGCUAGCGUUGCUCGGAAUUACUGGGCGUAAAGGGAGCGUAGGCGGAUAGUUUAGUCAGAGGUGAAAGCCCAGGGCUCAACCUUGGAAUUGCCUUUGAUACUGGCUAUCUUGAGUACGGAAGAGGUAUGUGGAACUCCGAGUGUAGAGGUGAAAUUCGUAGAUAUUCGGAAGAACACCAGUGGCGAAGGCGACAUACUGGUCCGUUACUGACGCUGAGGCUCGAAAGCGUGGGGAGCAAACAGGAUUAGAUACCCUGGUAGUCCACGCUGUAAACGAUGAGUGCUAGUUGUCGGCAGGCAUGCCUGUCGGUGACGCAGCUAACGCAUUAAGCACUCCGCCUGGGGAGUACGGUCGCAAGAUUAA